UGAGGAAUAUUGGUCAAUGGACGAGAGUCUGAACCAGCCAAGUAGCGUGCAGGAUGACGGCCCUAUGGGUUGUAAACUGCUUUUGUUUGGGAAUAAUCGACAUUACGUGUAAUGUUUUGCAUGUACCAUUCGAAUAAGGACCGGCUAAUUCCGUGCCAGCAGCCGCGGUAAUACGUAUGGGGCGAGCGUUGUCCGGAAUUAUUGGGCGUAAAGGGUACGUAGGUGGUUUUUUAAGUCAGGUGUCAAAGCGUGGAGCUUAACUCCAUUAAGCACUUGAAACUGAAAGACUUGAGUGAAGGAGAGGAAAGUGGAAUUCCUAGUGUAGCGGUGAAAUGCGUAGAUAUUAGGAGGAAUACCGGUGGCGAAGGCGACUUUCUGGACUUUUACUGACGCUCAGGUACGAAAGCGUGGGGAGCAAACAGG
rnacentral:rRNA from 1 species